CCACAUCGGGCUUCAGUUCAGUUCAUUUCAGUCGCUCAGUCUGUCCAACUCUUUGCGACCCCAGGGACAUGCCAAGCCUCCCUGUCCAUCACCAACUCCCGGAGUUUACCCAAACUCAUGCCCAUUGAGUCGGUGAUGCCAUCCAACCAUCUCAUCCUCUGUCAUCCCCUUCUCCUCCCGCCUUCAAUCUUUCCCAGCAUGAGAGUCUUUUCAAAUGAGUCAGCUCUUCGCAUCAGGUGGCCAAAGUAUCGGAGUUUCAGCUUCAACAUCGGGCUUGGGCUGCGAUAAAUACUCUACAUGCAUUACCUCAUUCAGUCUUCAUACGGCCCAUGAGGUAGGAAGCCAUUUUACAGGUGAAGAAAGCAAGGUCAUGAGGCUCUGAGGAUGCACCGGAAUUGCCCAGAUGAGAAGAUAACAGAGAGUAAUGACAUGUGAUGCUACGGUAAUGCCCCCAAACAGCUAUAUGUGCACCACCCACCAAAGCCUAUCAAUACUGCUGAAUUGACUCUGCUGAUAGAGUGCAUAUUUCUGGGGUGAGAGAUAAAGAAGCCACGCCCGGAACAGCAUCAUGCUUACUCUGUGCUCUGAAGAUGAAGGAAGAGGCACAAGCCAAGGAAUACAGAUGGCCUGAAGAAAUGGGAAAAGAUAAGGAAAUGGUUUCUCCCCUGGAGCACCCUGAAAGAUUGAGGUAAACCUGAGGUCCAUCAGCUCGCCUGCCCCAGCCCUUCUUGGGAAACUGAGAAACCUGGAGUGUGUGGGCAAGGAAGCUUAAUUGGCUCCACUGCUGGAGGAUCUGCCAUUUUCCUCUGCAUUCGUGGCAGGCCUCGGAGGAGAAGCUGGAAAUAAUAAUGUCCCAAGGUGAAAUGAGGUGACAUGCUGGAAAUAGUUUGGAAGAGGAUAAAGUGCUGUACAGAGGUCAUGCUUUCAGAGUCGAAAGACCUGGGUUCUAUUCCCGAGUAUGGCAACUUCAAACUGCAAGAUCUUGGAAAAGAAGUCACCCUCUCUAACCCUUCAGGGGCUUCCCAGGUGGUGCUAGUGGUAAAGAACCCUCCCGCCAAUGAAGGAAACCUAAGAGACCACAGUCUACUGGUGCCAUAAUUUUACCAAUUCAAAAGCUUUGCUGGAGGAGAGUUGAGAAAAAACAAAGCAUUAUGGAUGAAAUAGACCAGUGCUGCAUGGACAGUAAUCUAAAGAAGAGUAAUUAUGAUUCUAGCAGCCACAUUUAUGGACCAGUUACUAUCCAGGCUGAAUACUUACCCUCAUCUCAUUUUAACCUGUAAAACUUCCCCAUUUUACAAGUGGGUAAACAGAUUGGUGGAGAUGGAAAUUCCACUGUCCGAGUCUUAUGCUGCAAUGCCACAGGACCCCUCUUGUUUCUGCUGCUUUCUCUUGAGACUUGAACCCAUGGAUUAUGUCAGUGUUGCUUGUGUAGCCCACCCACUAUCAAGGAUAAUAACCUUGGAAGAGAGCUGGUUUCUGGAAACUCAGCCUGCAGAGUUCUUUGGACCUGCAUAGGUCUGUGCGAUUGCUUACUUGCUGUACUGUGGGUUUUGGCUGGGUUUGAGUCAGCCACAGGGGUUCAAGUCCCAAACAGCUGGGUUUGAGUCCCAGCACAUGGGUUCGAGUCCCAAUCUGUGGUAAAUGGUUCCAGUAAGGCUGCCCCAAGGGUCAUCAAGAGCCAUGCUUCUGGGACUACUCCACUAGUUAGAGUGCAGUAUUUUAGAUCUAGCAUUUUAUUUCAUACCCAUGCUCAAUCAAACAAAUAAAAUAGGUUCUUAAAUGAUAUAAAAACACAAAAACAAAAACAGAGUCUUGGAGUCCCUGAGACUGGUUAUUUAGGUCAAAACAAAUAAUCCUUGUUUACAGCUCACAAAAUACAGCCUGGUUUUGAGCAAAGUGGUUAAGGUUGUCUUCAGCCUCUUUCCCUCCCACUCAACCUCAAUAUACAGACACACCCCUGGUGGUCCCACAUUUGACCCUCAUGCUGGCAAGUGCCCUAAACCCACACGCUACUCUGGUUGUGUAAGUUACCUCCACCCUGCACAGAGCCCCAAGUUCCAGAUUUUCUAAACCCCUAUCCACUCUUUCCAAAAUUAACCCAUAUCUCCCCCCGCCCCACUCCUAUUGAGACUAGAGGGAAGGGGUCAGGGCACAACCAUUAAAAAAAUGACAUAGCCCUUGAGAAUACGACAAACUGAUUAGAACUGAUCAGACCCAAGAUGGCAGAAGAUUCAACUUGCAGUAGAUCCUGAGACUCACUAUAUGCUUACUGUAAUACAUUAGCAUAUGCUAAAUAGCACACCCACAGGACACUUCCCAGGACAACCAUUAAAGGCCAAAAAGUAGGCAGUGGCCCAAUUCCUGGAAAUGCCCUCCCCUUCCCCAAAAUAGUUGGAAUAAUUAGCUUAUAAAAUUACCACUCAUUAGCUUAUAAA